GAAAUGCGAUACGUAGUGUGAAUUGCAGAAUUCAGCGAAUCAUCGAAACUUUGAACGCACAUUGCGCUUGUGUGCUUCGGCACCGAGCAUGCCUCUUUCAGGGUCAUCGACUUACAUCUCACCCCCUUUGCAUUCGUGUAAUUGAGUGGAAUGGUGAAUGGGUGUCCUGGCGCACGGUUCGUCCGAGCAACCACGUCACCUGAAGCACAUGGCCAUAAAGGACAACGCCCUUUGUGUGGCUCGACGCAGUAAGAGCACAUUUGUGCACUCUCGUCGUAGCCCGGCGCAGUUUCAGCAUGGCGAUCCGCUUGAAUAAAGCCAUAUCCGGUUUGACCUGAAAUGAGGUAGGGCUACCCGCUGAACUUAA
rnacentral:misc_RNA from 1 species